rnacentral:rRNA from 2 species
AGCAUUAUACCGUGAAACUGCGAACGGCUCAUUAAAUCAGUUAUCGUUUAUUUGAUAGUACCUUACUACUUGGAUAACCGUGGUAAUUCUAGAGCUAAUACAUGCUAAAAACCCCAACUUCGGGAGGGGUGUAUUUAUUAGAUAAAAAACCAAUGCCCUUCGGGGCUCUCUGGUGAUUCAUAAUAACUUCUCAGAUCGCAUGGCCUUGCGCCGGCGACGGUUCAUUCAAAUUUCUGCCCUAUCAACUUUCGAUGGUAAGGUAUUGGCUUACCAUGGUUUCAACGGGUAACGGGGAAUUAGGGUUCGAUUCCGGAGAGGGAGCCUGAGAAACGGCUACCACAUCCAAGGAAGGCAGCAGGCGCGCAAAUUACCCAAUCCCAAUACGGGGAGGUAGUGACAAUAAAUACUGAUACAGGGCUCUUUAGGGUCUUGUAAUUGGAAUGAGUACAAUUUAAACCUCUUAACGAGGAACAAUUGGAGGGCAAGUCUGGUGCCAGCAGCCGCGGUAAUUCCAGCUCCAAUAGCGUAUAUUAAAGUUGUUGCAGUUAAAAAGCUCGUAGUUGAACCUUUGGCCUGGCUGGCGGGUCCGCCUCACCGCGUGCACUCGUCCGGCCGGGCCUUUUCUUCUGGAGAACCGCAUGCCCUUCACUGGGUGUGUUGGGGACCAGGACUUUUACUUUGAAUAAAUCAGAGUGUUCAAAGCAGGCAUUUGCUCGAAUACGUUAGCAUGGAAUAAUAGAAUAGGACGUGCGGUCUUAUUUUGUUGGUUUCUAAGACCGCCGUAAUGAUUAAUAGGGACAGUCGGGGGCAUCAGUAUUCAAUUGUCAGAGGUGAAAUUCUUGGAUUUAUUGAAGACUAACUACUGCGAAAGCAUUUGCCAAGGAUGUUUUCAUUAAUCAGUGAACGAAAGUUAGGGGAUCGAAGACGAUCAGAUACCGUCGUAGUCUUAACCAUAAACUAUGCCGACUAGGGAUCGGGCGGUGUUAUUAUUUUGACUCGCUCGGCACCUUACGAGAAAUCAAAGU